GCAGAAGAUUCUGGUCUGUGGUGUUCUUCCUGGCUAGUUGAGCGCGCGCAAAAAGUGGUGCCGAAAUCCGGGACCCGGGACCCAGGAUAAGGGACAAGAAACAUCUUCAGGCAUGAGUGAAGACCCCCUGCUACAGGGAGGAUUCAGAACUGCAUCACUGGGAAGGAGCGGUUAAUAAAGUGUUCCCGUGAAACAGACUGUUGAGAAGGAUCCAGCAUGGAUUCAGAACUCUUCAGCUGGGGAACGGUACUGAUGAAGAGAAAGAAGAAAGAUGAAGACGGAAUAAACUGCUGUUAGAAGGACUGGUGGUCACGUCGUUCUUGCUGGUCGAGAGCGGGCGCGACAAUUGGUGGCCCGUACGGGGAACCGACUCCCCCACCGAGUUCAGAACUUUCAGCAGUCAGUGGUUGCCGGCAGGGACCAGACGGAACCUCUUUGGGUGCUGGAGAGAUUGGUGAGACGCUGCAAGAAUGAGGCUCCUGAUCCAGUUGCCCCUGUGGAUGUGGUGGAUGAUCCCACAAGCACAAAGGAUGGAGCCAAGAUGAGAGAUCCUUUCGGUAUUCCAGAAGCCGAUACCAGCUCGACAUGACAUUCAAAUUUUUCCAUGCUUUUUGAUCCCUGAAUUCCCCUUAAAGAGAUAGCCCCGCUGACUAUCUAUCCCUUGCUUCAGGGAAGAUGAGUGGGGAUGAGAGCCCUGGGAUGUAUGCU
rnacentral:lncRNA from 1 species